CGGGAUGUAGCUCAGUUGGUAGAGCGCACGGUUCGGGACCGUGAGGUCGUGGGUUCGAGUCCCGCCAUCCCGACCA
rnacentral:tRNA from 1 species